rnacentral:rRNA from 1 species
UACGUAGGGUGCGAGCGUUAAUCGGAAUUACUGGGCGUAAAGUGUGCGCAGGUGGCUUCGCAAGUCGAGUGUGAAAUCCCCGGGCUUAACCUGGGAAUUGCGCUUGAAACUACGGAGCUGGAGUGUGGCAGAGGAAGGUGGAAUUCCACGUGUAGCGGUGAAAUGCGUAGAGAUGUGGAGGAACACCGAUGGCGAAGGCAGCCCCCUGGGCUAACACUGACGCUCAGGCACGAAAGCGUGGGGAGCAAACAGG